rnacentral:sRNA from 1 species
CAACGCUCUAAAUUUCUCCCGAACAUCUUCUUCGUUUGGAACGUCUUUGCGACAAACAAGUCUUUUUUAUUCGUCCAAAAUAUAAUGGAAAACAUUUGAGAAUAAGUAAAAACUAGUUGGUCAUCACCGCGAGGAAGACACAUCUUGUUGGCGCCACAUUAUUAUUGCCACGCAUUUUCCAUUUGGCCACAUACUCCGCAGGCCAAGGUUCUCAUCUGGUUUUGUUCGAUUAGAAGCUCAAACUCGUACUUAAAAGUACGCCCAAACAUUUUCAAGAGGCGAUCAACCAAUUUUUUUCUCUUUUUUAAUGGAAUACCAAAUACCGAGCUCAAAAGCACUGUAACUGGAUUAAAGGGCACAAUCUUCAAUUUUUGAUGCAAAAACAUUUUUUUGAAUUUAAAAAAAUUAAAGUACUCUGUAGUCCGAAAUUCAAAGACAAUUCGUAAAAUAAACAGAAUUAUUUACAAU